GGGGUUAAGUCCCGUAACGAGCGAAACCCUUAUGUCUAGUUGCCAGCGGGUAAUGCCGGGGACUCUAGCGAGACUGCCGUUGUCAAAACGGAGGAAGGUGGGGACGACGUCAAGUCAUCAUGGCCCUUAUGACCGGGGCGACACACGUGCUACAAUGGUCUGUACAGAGGGUUCCGAUACCGUGAGGUGGAGGCAAUCCCACAAAGCAGACCCCAGUUCGGAUUGCAGGCUGGAACUCGCCUGCAUGAAGUUGGAAUCGCUAGUAAUCGCGUAUCAGCAUGACGCGGUGAAUAUGUUCCUGAGCCUUGUACACACCGCCCGCCAAGCCACGAAAGCGGGGAGCGCUCGAAGUCGCUUU
rnacentral:rRNA from 1 species